rnacentral:rRNA from 1 species
GUGUCAGCCGCCGCGGUAAGACGAACCGUCCAAACGUUAUUCGGAAUUACUGGGCUUAAAGGGUGCGUAGGCGGCCUGACAAGUUGGGUGUGAAAUACCUCGGCUCAACCGAGGAAUGGCGCUCAAAACUGUAAGGCUAGAGGAAGAUAGAGGUGAGCGGAACUUAAGGUGGAGCGGUGAAAUGCGUUGAUAUCUUAAGGAACACCCGUGGCGAAAGCGGCUCACUGGAUCUUUUCUGACGCUGAUGCACGAAAGCUAGGGGAGCAAACGGGAUUAGAUACCCCUGUAGUCC